rnacentral:rRNA from 1 species
GGAAACGGGUUAAUAUUCCCGUACUUCUUACAAUUGCGAUGGGGGGACGGAGAAGGCUAGGUGGGCCUGGCGACGGUUGUCCAGGUUCAAGUAUGUAGGCGGAAAGUUUAGGUAAAUCCGGACUUUCUUAACGCUGAGAUACGAUGUCGAGCUACUACGGUAGUGAAGUCAUUGAUGCCAUGCUUCCAGGAAAAGCCUCUAAGCUUCAGAUUGUAAGGAAUCGUACCCCAAACCGACACAGGUGGUCGGGUAGAGAAUACCAAGGCGCUUGAGAGAACUCGGGUGAAGGAACUAGGCAAAAUGGUACCGUAACUUCGGGAGAAGGUACGCUCUUAUCAGUGAAGUCCCUUGCGGAUGGAGCAGACGAGAGUCGCAGAUACCAGGUGGCUGCAACUGUUUAUUAAAAACACAGCACUGUGCAAAAUCGUAAGAUGACGUAUACGGUGUGACGCCUGCCCGGUGCCGGAAGGUUAAUUGAUGGGGUUAGACUUCGGUCGAAGCUCUUGAUCGAAGCCCCGGUAAACGGCGGCCGUAACUAUAACGGUCCUAAGGUAGCGAAAUUCCUUGUCGGGUAAGUUCCGACCUGCACGAAUGGCGUAAUGAUGGCCACGCUGUCUCCACCCGAGACUCAGUGAAAUUGAAAUCGCUGUGAAGAUGCAGUGUACCCGCGGCUAGACGGAAAGACCCCGUGAACCUUUACUACAGCUUGGCACUGAACAUUGAACCUACAUGUGUAGGAUAGGUGGGAGACUAUGAAAUUGCGUCGCUAGAUGUGAUGGAGUCGUCCUUGAAAUACCACCCUUGUAGUUUUGAUGUUCUAACGUUGGUCCCUGAAUCGGGAUUACGGACAGUGCCUGGUGGGUAGUUUGACUGGGGCGGUCUCCUCCCAAAGAGUAACGGAGGAGCACGAAGGUGGGCUAAACACGGUUGGACAUCGUGUGGUUAGUGCAAUGGCAUAAGCCCGCUUGACUGCGAGAAUGACAAUUCGAGCAGGUGCGAAAGCAGGUCAUAGUGAUCCGGUGGUUCUGAAUGGAAGGGCCAUCGCUCAACGGAUAAAAGGUACUCCGGGGAUAACAGGCUGAUACCGCCCAAGAGUUCAUAUCGACGGCGGUGUUUGGCACCUCGAUGUCGGCUCAUCACAUCCUGGGGCUGAAGUCGGUCCCAAGGGUAUGGCUGUUCGCCAUUUAAAGUGGUACGCGAGCUGGGUUUAGAACGUCGUGAGACAGUUCGGUCCCUAUCUGCCGUGGGCGUUGGAAAAUUGAAAGGGGCUGCUCCUAGUACGAGAGGACCGGAGUGGACGAACCUCUGGUGUUCGGGUUGUCAUGCCAAUGGCAUUGCCCGGUAGCUAAGUUCGGAAUCGAUAACCGCUGAAAGCAUCUAAGCGGGAAGCGAGCCUUGAGAUGAGUUUUCCCUGGCACUAUAAGUGUCCUAAAGGGUUGUCGUAGACUACGACGUUGAUAGGCAGGGUGUGUAAGUGCUGCGAGGCAUUGAGCUAACCUGUACUAAUUGCCCGUGAGGCUUAACCAU